rnacentral:rRNA from 1 species
CUUGGUCAUUUAGAGGAAGUAAAAGUCGUAACAAGGUUUCCGUAGGUGAACCUGCGGAAGGAUCAUUACCUAGAGUUUGUAGACUUCGGUCUGCUACCUCUUACCCAUGUCUUUUGAGUACCUUCGUUUCCUCGGCGGGUCCGCCCGCCGAUUGGACAACAUUCAAACCCUUUGCAGUUGCAAUCAGCGUCUGAAAAAACAUAAUAGUUACGACUUUCAACAACGGAUCUCUUGGUUCUGGCAUCGAUGAAGAACGUAGCGAAAUGCGAUAAGUAGUGUGAAUUGCAGAAUUCAGUGAAUCAUCGAAUCUUUGAACGCACAUUGCGCCCCUUGGUAUUCCAUGGGGCAUGCCUGUUCGAGCGUCAUUUGUACCUUCAAGCUUUGCUUGGUGUUGGGUGUUUUGUCUCGCCUCUGCGUGUAGACUCGCCUUAAAACAAUUGGCAGCCGGCGUAUUGAUUUCGGAGCGCAGUACAUCUCGCGCUUUGCACUCAUAACGGCGACGUCCAAAAGUACAUUUUUACACUCUUGACCUCGGAUCAGGUAGGGAUUCCCGCUGAACUUAAGCAUAUCAAUAAGCGGAGGA